CCCGCCACGCCUCUUAACAAUGCGUACCACGGCGGGA
rfam:Prevotella bryantii B14 contig_120, whole genome shotgun sequence.